rnacentral:rRNA from 2 species
ACGCUGGCGGCGUGCCUAAUACAUGCAAGUCGAACGAGUUCUCGUUGAUGAUCGGUGCUUGCACCGAGAUUCAACAUGGAACGAGUGGCGGACGGGUGAGUAACACGUGGGUAACCUGCCCUUAAGUGGGGGAUAACAUUUGGAAACAGAUGCUAAUACCGCAUAGAUCCAAGAACCGCAUGGUUCUUGGCUGAAAGAUGGCGUAAGCUAUCGCUUUUGGAUGGACCCGCGGCGUAUUAGCUAGUUGGUGAGGUAAUGGCUCACCAAGGCGAUGAUACGUAGCCGAACUGAGAGGUUGAUCGGCCACAUUGGGACUGAGACACGGCCCAAACUCCUACGGGAGGCAGCAGUAGGGAAUCUUCCACAAUGGACGCAAGUCUGAUGGAGCAACGCCGCGUGAGUGAAGAAGGCUUUCGGGUCGUAAAACUCUGUUGUUGGAGAAGAAUGGUCGGCAGAGUAACUGUUGUCGGCGUGACGGUAUCCAACCAGAAAGCCACGGCUAACUACGUGCCAGCAGCCGCGGUAAUACGUAGGUGGCAAGCGUUAUCCGGAUUUAUUGGGCGUAAAGCGAGCGCAGGCGGUUUUUUAAGUCUGAUGUGAAAGCCCUCGGCUUAACCGAGGAAGCGCAUCGGAAACUGGGAAACUUGAGUGCAGAAGAGGACAGUGGAACUCCAUGUGUAGCGGUGAAAUGCGUAGAUAUAUGGAAGAACACCAGUGGCGAAGGCGGCUGUCUGGUCUGUAACUGACGCUGAGGCUCGAAAGCAUGGGUAGCGAACAGGAUUAGAUACCCUGGUAGUCCAUGCCGUAAACGAUGAAUGCUAGGUGUUGGAGGGUUUCCGCCCUUCAGUGCCGCAGCUAACGCAUUAAGCAUUCCGCCUGGGGAGUACGACCGCAAGGUUGAAACUCAAAGGAAUUGACGGGGGCCCGCACAAGCGGUGGAGCAUGUGGUUUAAUUCGAAGCAACGCGAAGAACCUUACCAGGUCUUGACAUCUUUUGAUCACCUGAGAGAUCAGGUUUCCCCUUCGGGGGCAAAAUGACAGGUGGUGCAUGGUUGUCGUCAGCUCGUGUCGUGAGAUGUUGGGUUAAGUCCCGCAACGAGCGCAACCCUUAUGACUAGUUGCCAGCAUUUAGUUGGGCACUCUAGUAAGACUGCCGGUGACAAACCGGAGGAAGGUGGGGAUGACGUCAAAUCAUCAUGCCCCUUAUGACCUGGGCUACACACGUGCUACAAUGGAUGGUACAACGAGUUGCGAGACCGCGAGGUCAAGCUAAUCUCUUAAAGCCAUUCUCAGUUCGGACUGUAGGCUGCAACUCGCCUACACGAAGUCGGAAUCGCUAGUAAUCGCGGAUCAGCACGCCGCGGUGAAUACGUUCCCGGGCCUUGUACACACCGCCCGUCACACCAUGAGAGUUUGUAACACCCGAAGCCGGUGGCGUAACCCUUUUAGGGAGCGAGCCGUCUAAGGUGGGACAAAUGAUUAGGGUGAAGU